rnacentral:rRNA from 1 species
UACGGAGGGAGCUAGCGUUAUUCGGAAUUACUGGGCGUAAAGCGCACGUAGGCGGCUUUGUAAGUUAGAGGUGAAAGCCUGGAGCUCAACUCCAGAAAUUGCCUUUAAGACUGCAUCGCUUGAAUCCAGGAGAGGUGAGUGGAAUUCCCGAGUGUAGAGGUGAAAUUCGUAGAUAUUCGGAAGAACACCAGUGGCGAAGGCGGCUCACUGGACUGGUAUUGACGCUGAGGUGCGAAAAGCGUGGGGGAGCAAACAGG